rnacentral:lncRNA from 13 species
UCGUACCUGAGUUUCAAUCCCAUGAACAGUCCCGUACUUCAUUACACUGUCCAGGGACAGGAAAAAAAAUGCUGAUCCUAGCAAAGAAUUCUGCACAUAUGUGACCAACUGCUCUGUAGAGUAUAUAUUCGACAACCCAGAGUUCUGCUGGUGUGACAUACAACCAUUAAAUUACCUAAAACUUUUCAUCAGCUAGAGACCUUUUUCUACUUAUGUCAUUUGAGAUUUUGCUCUGUUCUUCACCAUGAGAAUUUGAUGAGUCUCCAGAAGUUCACUCACUCUUAAGCUAGUCCACAUGCAGACCAUAGCAGUUCCUCACCAAUUAAGUGUUCCUCCAAUUUAUGGCUCCAAGUGGCUACUGCUUAAGAUGGGGUCUCAGCCUGUUGCCCACGCUGGAGUGCUGUGGCAUGAUGUCAGCUCACUGCAACCUCUGUCUCCUGGGUUCAAUCGAUUCUCCUGCCCUCAGCCUCCUGAGUAGCUGGGAUUACAGGCACAUGCCACCACGCCCAGCUUUGCUGGCCUGCUUAGCAAUUUUUGAGUGCAUGGAAGACUGUGUAAGAGGAAGUACAGAGGCACUGGAUGAUGUUGCCUUCUGUUUCAGUGAAUGUUCGCUCAUUCUUCUUCCUUUCCUCUGGGAUUAAGGCACAUAAGCUUUAAUAAAUCUUUGAUACCUGUAAGAGAAUUUUGUUUG